GAUGAACGCUGGCGGCGUGCCUAAUACAUGCAAGUCGAGCGAACAGAUGAGGAGCUUGCUCCUCUGACGUUAGCGGCGGACGGGUGAGUAACACGUGGAUAACCUACCUAUAAGACUGGGAUAACUUCGGGAAACCGGAGCUAAUACCGGAUAAUAUAUUGAACCGCAUGGUUCAAUAGUGAAAGACGGUUUUGCUGUCACUUAUUGAUGGAUCCGCGCCGCAUUAGCUAGUUGGUAAGGUAACGGCUUACCAAGGCAACGAUGCGUAGCCGACCUGAGAGGGUGAUCGGCCGCACUGGAACUGAGACACGGUCCAGACUCCUACGGGAGGCAGCAGUAGGGAAUCUUCCGCAAUGGGCGAAAGCCUGACGGAGCAACGCCGCGUGAGUGAUGAAGGUCUUCGGAUCGUAAAACUCUGUUAUUAGGGAAGAACAAAUGUGUAAGUAACUAUGCACGUCUUGACGGUACCUAAUCAGAAAGCCACGGCUAACUACGUG
rnacentral:rRNA from 1 species